CUGAGCUAAGUCUUGAAAGAUGACAAGGCUUCUGACAAUACACAAAUAUAGGGCUGCCAAGUUUGAUGAGUGUAACAAACAGAGCACUGAGAUACAGAGUAACACUCGGGGCCCGCUUUCAGAGGGUAGCAGGGAGAGACAGUCAGCAAUCUUCAGCAGAGGCCUGAAGUCUGAGAAGGCCAGUCCCGUGAAGAGUAUUCCAGGCAAAAAAAUUGACACAUGUGAGGCCUGAAGGGCUGAAGGUGGUUUCCUACUAAGCCAAGUGGCCAAAGUUUGAGUUCUUUCAUCAUCAUAGUCAUGGACCAGCAUCUCAGCAGUGGGGUCAAAAUCAUGAUCUUCAGAAGACAAAGACCCAACUGGAAUAAAACAAACUGAAUCACUUUACACAUUUAAAAGGCUAUUAACAAAAUAAAAUAAAAAUUUGUGUUCUUCUGCCA